ACGCUGGCGGCGUGCCUAAUACAUGCAAGUAGAACGCUGAAGAGAGGAGCUUGCUCUUCUUGAAUGAGUUGCGAACGGGUGAGUAACGCGUAAGUAACCUGCCUUGUAGCGGGGGAUAACUAUUGGAAACGAUAGCUAAUACCGCAUAACAAUGGGUGACACAUGUCAUUUAUUUGAAAGGGGCAAUUGCUCCACUACAAGAUGGACCUGCGUUGUAUUAGCUAGUAGGUGAGGUAACGGCUCACCUAGGCGACGAUACAUAGCCGACCUGAGAGGGUGAUCGGCCACACUGGGACUGAGACACGGCCCAGACUCCUACGGGAGGCAGCAGUAGGGAAUCUUCGGCAAUGGGGGCAACCCUGACCGAGCAACGCCGCGUGAGUGAAGAAGGUUUUCGGAUCGUAAAGCUCUGUUGUAAGUCAAGAAUGAGUGUGAGAGUGGAAAGUUCACACUGUGACGGUAGCUUACCAGAAAGGGACGGCUAACUACGUGCCAGCAGCCGCGGUAAUACGUAGGUCCCGAGCGUUGUCCGGAUUUAUUGGGCGUAAAGCGAGCGCAGGCGGUUUGAUAAGUCUGAAGUUAAAGGCUGUGGCUCAACCAUAGUUCGCUUUGGAAACUGUCAAACUUGAGUGCAGAAGGGGAGAGUGGAAUUCCAUGUGUAGCGGUGAAAUGCGUAGAUAUAUGGAGGAACACCGGUGGCGAAAGCGGCUCUCUGGUCUGUAACUGACGCUGAGGCUCGAAAGCGUGGGGAGCGAACAGGAUUAGAUACCCUGGUAGACCACGCCGUAAACGAUGAGUGCUAGGUGUUGGAUCCUUUCCGGGAUCCAGUGCCGCAGCUAACGCAUUAAGCACUCCGCCUGGGGAGUACGACCGCAAGGUUGAAACUCAAAGGAAUUGACGGG
rnacentral:rRNA from 1 species